UUAGGAUCAAAGCAGCAGCUGCUUUCCCAUUCAAGUACCAGUCAAGAGAGCCCAAAGUGACAGUUUUCCUACACAGCUAUAGCCUCUUCUGUCAUCUGUAACUGGCCUAUGACAUUUUUGGAAAAGACAUUU
ensembl:snoRNA